UAUGUGAUCGUCUCUCGCAUAUCAAUAAGCGGAGGAAAAGAAACUAACAAGGAUUCCCCUAGUAACGGCGAGUGAAGCGGGAAGAGCUCAAAUUUGAAAUCUUAAAGGGUUUCCCUUUACGAAUUGUAGUUUAAAGAAGUGUUUUCUGUUGAGGUUUUGGUAAAAGUUCUUUGGAAUAGGACAUCAUAGAGGGUGGGAAUCCCGUAUUUGACCUUUACUUUCAACUUUGUGAUACACUUUCAAAGAGUCGGAUUGUUUGGGAAUGCAGUCCAAAAUGGGUGGUAAAUUUCAUCUAAAGCUAAAUAUUGGCGAGAGACCGAUAGCGAACAAGUACCGUGAGGGAAAGAUGAAAAGAACUUUGAAAAGAGAGUUAAACAGUACGUGAAAUUGUCAAAAGGGAAGCGUUUGACACCAGUGUUGUUUUUCUGAAAAUCAAUUAAAGAACUGUUUAUGCUAAGUUGUUUAGACUUUAUCAGCUAACUGUUUAGUUUUGAGCUUUUCUUUAAUGCACUUUUCAGUUAACAAGUCAACAUCAAUUUCUUUUGCUGUAAAAAAGCUUGAGUAAGGUGGCUUGAGAUUCGUCUUAAGUGUUUAUAGCCUCUUGCCUAUGCAGUCGGAGAGAUUGAGGUCUGCAGCGUAGAUCCUUCGGGGCUAAAUGCAUUUGUGCUAAGUUAUAGCAUUUUAUAGACAACUUGUUGACUAUGAUUUGUCUUGUAGCUUACUCGCUUAUGUUAUUUUACCUACGCUUAGGAUGUUGACACACGCGCGUGCUCG
rnacentral:rRNA from 1 species